rnacentral:lncRNA from 10 species
GAGAGGCCUCUGUUCACAUGGCAGCAUGUGUGAGUGGAUGCUCCCGGAGCAGGUGGAGUGGUGGCGCUGGAUAGCGGUGUACACUUAAAGCGUUCUGGGAAUAUGAAUCCCUUCUGCACCCUGGAAUCACCAGUCCAGCCAUGCAUGGAGCUGGGGAAAGCAGGCCCUGAAUUGUCUAGAGAGACUUGGUGGAGGAGGCCACGGCCCGCCUUGUCCCUGCCGGGUCCCGGCCAGGUGAGACUGGGCAUGAUUCAGAAAAGUUGGAAGAUCUAGAGAGGGAUCUUGCAAUCUGAAGUUUCUUGUUUAGUCACUGGAGGAUCUGAACGUCUAUGACACUCUUUCGAGCUGACACAGUGAAGAACAUAGAAGGAGAACUCACCCAGUCUGCCAGGUUAGGAUGUGGUGGGGGCUGCUUGGGGGGGUGGCUCCAAUUUCACUUGACGGUGUCGAGCUUCUCUGGCUUUGAGGUAAGGCAGCUACAUGCAGGUGGUGCAAGAAAGGCAGAGAGCAGACAGGGAUCAGACACAGGUGAAAGAGCUUGCGACUUGUUGGCUGACACCAACCCAGUGGCCAGAGGUCACCAUUUCCAGGGAUGCUGGGAAGGACCCCAGAGCAGGGUCUCAGCAUCCCUAUGGCAUGGUCACAGUGGGCAACCAUCUCUACAUGCCCCCCCAACCUCUGCAUCCCACCCAUUCCAUUUUCUACCCACUACCAUGCACCUUCAUUCUGAGUCAAGCUGACCUGGGAUCCUAGGUCCCCGCUUUGCCACCAGGAGGUAGGCAUAGGGAUGGUGACGGUUUCUACAGCAGCAAAGAAUCUGAUGUCCCCAUAGUCCUUUGAGCGAGACCUGAGCAGGGCUCAUACAGGGAGGGCAUAUUUCUCUGGCCCCAGGGCAUUUUCAGUGUGGCCCUGUUAUGAAAUUGUUUCUCCCCAUUGUGAAGAGAGGGCAUCCAGAAAGGUUCUCAGAGCCUGCUCUCUCUGCUGUUUCAGGCUUAUCAUUGCUACUGUAGGGCGCUUUGAAGGGAGCAGGGCUUUUAAUAGCUCAUCCAAACCUGACCACUACGCAUUUACUGAUGUAGGCAGCAUGGAAGUCCAGCUGGAAAGAUUUAGUAGGAAGUCAAUCCUACGUAAAUGCAUCCUUUGCUUUUUUGGUAAAGGAAUCCUUUCCAUCAGUAAACCUCAGAUACAGCUUAACAAUUUUAGUCUAAAAUAUGUUCCAAAAGAUCUACCUCAUCUCUUUACAUAAAGCAAAUCUACUAGACCAGUGCUGCAGUUUUGAUAGAACAUAAACCCUCCUGUUUGUUGGAGAUAUUUACAAAACGUUGGUUCUUUAUCUAAUAGGGUCACAGAAUGAUCAUACUCAAGAUCUUCCUGGGGAGUCAAUGGCAAAUUUCACUGGGCUAUUUUACAGAUGAAGAAGGAACAUAAAGAAGGUUCUGGGACCCC